GUCUUCUUGAAUAGAUUUGAAGUCGUGCCUGCCCACUGAGAUAUUUUAAUGGCCGCGGUAUAUCUGACCGUGCAAAGGUAGCAUAAUCAUUAGUCUUUUAAUUGGAGGCUGGAAUGAAUGGUUUGACGAAAUAAUAACUGUCUCGGUUUAAUUUAAUUGAAUUUUAUUUUUAAGUUAAAAAGCUUAAAUAAUGAUAGGGGACGAGAAGACCCUAUAGAUCUUGAAAUAUUUUAUAAUAAUUGUUAAUUGGUGGUGUAAGAUAAUAAUUAUAUAAUUAUUUUUGAUUGGGGUGAUGAGAGAAUAAAACAACUUCUUUAAUUUUUACUAUGAUGGUUGAAUUUAGGAUCCUGUAUUAUGGAAUUAAGAUAAAGAUACCUUAGGGAUAACAGCGUAAUUUUAUUGGAGAGUUCAUAUUGAUAAUAAAGAUUGCGACCUCGAUGUUGGAUUAAGAAUAUAAUUAGGUGCAGAAGUUUAAUUUAUUGGUCUGUUCGACCAUUAAAAUCUUACA
rnacentral:rRNA from 1 species